CUCAAACCUUUCGAGCCGAUUUAGGGCCACCACUGUGAAGGUUUACCUGGGCAACGUGUCAAAAUUCAUCAGUUAUUUGACCCUUGACCGGCCGCGUGGUACAAAAAUUGGAAACAACAGUUUGCGGGCCCUUUCUGUUGCAUUGAGGCGGUUGAAUGACACAAUACUCACUGAGGUGAAGCAUCGAAGGCUGGAGGUGCGUCAUGAAAAGUCCAAAAAUAUGUUAAAAAUGACCACAUUAGAACAACUCGUCCGGAAGACAUCAGAGCGAAUUCCCAAGGCUUUGGAUUACCUGGCGCACAACAGCAAUUCGGAUUCGCUGAGGUCAUGUCUUGGGUACAUAGCCACGUAUUUAUACGCCACUACUGGUCAUCGGAGUGCUGUGGUUUCGAACAUGACCGUUCGCGAGUUCCAGGAUGCUGACGAGCACGACGGGAGAUACGUCAUAAACGUGAAGGAUCACAAGACUGCAGCAUCCUUUGGGAUGGCAAAAAUCCCAUUGUCUUCAUCAGAGAUGGCCUGGCUGAAAAAGUUCUUUGAUCUGAGACCCACGCUGCCAGGCUACACGGAAGAGGUGCCGACUUUUUUCUUCACCUCGAAGGGUCAGGUCUUCUCCAAGAUUAGCCAGGUGGUCGCCGAGACGUGUCAGAAGCUUGGCUUCAGCCCAAACAUUUCGGUGACCUCCAUCAGAAGCGCUGUUGCGACCUGUGUGGAGCGUAACCUGCCGACAGACGAACGUCGGGAUGUCACAAACCUUAUGUGCCACUCGGAGGAGGUGGCGAACCGAUAUUACGUUGGAGAACGGUCCGUGAUCGAGGCACAUGCCGCUCGUCUCAAACUGCGCUCUGCACUGGGCCUUGGGGGUGCCACGCCAGGUGACCGUGGGCAUUCCUGCAAUAACGUGGACCACAACGAGGAGCAGCAGCAGCAGCAGCAGCAGCAGCAGCAGCAGAAGGAGGAGGAGGAGGAGAAGAAGGAGGAGGAGGAGGAGGAGGAGGAGGAGGAGGAGGAGGAGGAGAAAAAAAAAGAUUGUGAGGAGCGUGACAAAAUAGAGUCUCCCCCUGUGGGCCCACAGCAUCCCCAUACACCUGUAAGAAACUGAUAAAUGCUGUGAAAAUGUGUAAUCUUCAUGUGCACUUGUCAUGCCUAAAUUGUCCUUUUGUCAUUUUGAAGCCCAGAGUUCAGGACAACGAGCAGUCCACACUUUGCCAAACAGAAGGCCUUAAUUCCUCACCUGUCUGUGUGAGUCCACUACCCAGGCAAAGACCUCCGGUAGGCGAUGAGCAGUAUAGCAUGUGGAAUCAUCGGGAGAAAUGUCUCAUUUUCUUUUCUUCUAUUAAAUUUAGGUUGAAGGACUCAGACGCGCUAUGCAGUACACUCACGAGUUUAAAAAUACAAUCUGGC
rnacentral:lncRNA from 1 species